rnacentral:rRNA from 1 species
GUGGCCAAGUUUUUAAGGGCGCACGGUGGAUGCCUUGGCACCAGGAACCGAUGAAGGACGUGGGAGGCCACGAUAGGCCCCGGGGAGCUGUCAACCAAGCUUUGAUCCGGGGGUGUCCGAAUGGGGAAACCCGGCAGUCGUCAUGGGCUGUCACCCGCUGCUGAACACAUAGGCAGUGUGGAGGGAACGCGGGGAAGUGAAACAUCUCAGUACCCGCAGGAAGAGAAAACAACCGUGAUUCCGGGAGUAGUGGCGAGCGAAACUGGAUGAGGCCAAACCAGUCACGUGUGAUACCCGGCAGGGGUUGCGUGGUUGGGGUUGUGGGAUCUCUCUUCUGUUGUCUGCCGGCAACAGGACGAGUCAGAAACCGUUGAUGUAGGCGAAGGACAUGCGAAAGGUCCGGCGUAGAGGGUAAGACCCCCGUAGCUGAAACAUUAGCGGCUCGUUUGAGAGACACCCAAGUAGCACGGGGCCCGAGAAAUCCCGUGUGAAUCUGGCGGGACCACCCGUUAAGCCUAAAUAUUCCCUGGUGACCGAUAGCGGAUAGUACCGUGAGGGAAUGGUGAAAAGUACCGCGGGAGCGGAGUGAAAUAGUACCUGAAACCGUGUGCCUACAAGCCGUGGGAGCGUCGCACAGAGACUUGUCUCUGUGUCGUGACUGCGUGCCUUUUGAAGAAUGAGCCUGCGAGUUUGCGGUAUGUUGCGAGGUUAACCCGUGUGGGGAAGCCGUAGCGAAAGCGAGUCCGAAUAGGGCGUUGAGUAGCGUGCCCAAGACCCGAAGCGGAGUGAUCUAGCCAUGGGCAGGUUGAAGCGGAGGUAAGACUUCGUGGAGGACCGAACCCACCAGGGUUGAAAACCUGGGGGAUGACCUGUGGUUAGGGGUGAAAGGCCAAUCAAACUCCGUGAUAGCUGGUUCUCCCCGAAAUGCAUUUAGGUGCAGCGUCGUGUGUUUCUUGCCGGAGGUAGAGCACUGGAUAGGCGAUGGGCCCUACCGGGUUACUGACCUUAGCCAAACUCCGAAUGCCGGUAAGUG